GAUAAUUUGGCUUAAAUAUUAACAAGUAUGAAAUUAGUCUACUGCACAGUUUUGGCGGCUGCAUGACCCAACAGCGUGUAUUAACGGAAAGCAAUCAAGACUAAAAUUUAAAAAACACAAAAAUAAAGAAAAUAUUGAACCGAUAUCAUUUAACGGUUCCUUAUACCUCACAACUAAAUGGUGUUGCAGAGCGGAUGAUUAGAACAAUCACUGAAAAAGCUUGCUCUGUGAUUAACUGUACUAAACUUAAUAAAAGUUUUUGGGCUGAAGCUGUUUUGACAGCAACAUAAAUAAUUCAUUAACGGGUCCCCAAGUAGAGCUUUAAGAAAAUAAAAGAAAAUCACCAGUUGAGAUGUGGCAUAAAAAGAAGCCAGUAUUGAAAUAGAUAAAGAUAUUUGGCUCGACAGCACUAAAUAAAGUGCGAAAGCGAAAAUUUUACGAGAAAUCGAUCAAAACUAAACUUGUCGGAUAUGAGCCAAUUGGCUGUAAGGUGUGUAAGGUAUAAGGCAUGAGAAAAUGAAUGACAGCUAGAGAUGUAGUGGUGGAUGAAAUAAACAUAAGCAUCUGUAACUUCAAAUAAAAAUGACUCUGUGGAAAAACAUGAUGUUUUUGACCAAUAUAGUGAUUCUCUAAUUGAAGAGAAUGAAGAGUCGAAUUGCCGAAAAAUUGUGAAAAUUCCACUUGUCUCGAGAAUACCAAUCCAGUAGCUGAAACUGGUGAUAAAAUAAAAGAAAAUAAAAAUUAAGAACAAAUCAGACGCAAUUUAUAAUUGACUGAUAUUAUGACAAAGCCACUAUCAACUUCCACAUUCACUGCACUGCGAGACCAACUGGGGCUAACCGAAUUGAAUGAUGAAAAUAAUCUGAAUGAGCAAAAUGAAUUUUUAUAUGAAGUUUGAAUCUUUUAUAUAUAUAUGUACAUAUAUAUAACCAUAAUCAAAUCAAAACAAUUACUAGUCUAACCAUUUGUUUAUCUUUGUUUAUCUAACUGAAACUUGAAUGAUGAUAAUAAUUUUUAAAUGAAGUUUAAAUCUUUUGUAAAUAUAAGUUAACGACCUGCUCUCGUCAAGAGCCAACGACCGCCCUAGCCAAGCCCCGCUGACGCCUACACCCUUGCGUGUGAGAUCGCAACUUCAGCACAAGCACCGGAAGAAGCUACGGCGAUAAUGUGCAGCGUCAGGUUCCUUACGCCGGCGCGUUGACGGCAAGCUGAUGCGACGUAACAUUGUUGAGCUAUCAUGUGCAACGUCAGCACGCAGGCACAUUGUCGACGAGCUUGCGCAACAGAAUUUCUGACUUACGCAGCGUAAGCACCCUUGUGCCAACGAGCAGCUGAAGUGGGACUUCAAGCCGGACGGUUUGGGCAGAGUCGAUUCGCCGAUCAACAGGAACGGAGCGUCUUGAAUAAAGUUGUUAUUAAGAACCAAGCUUUCAAAACUUAUUAUUAACAUCUCAAGGGACAUGGAAGGUUUAAUUAAAAUUAAUAAUAUCGUUCCGAUCUGUCCGAUCUAUGAUCGCCAAGAUCAACACGAUGGUCGCCGAACGGAGUCCGACGUUAACCUAUAUAACCAUAAUCAAACCAAAACAAUUACUAGACUAAUUAUUACUAUGUUUAAUAUAAGUAAAUCUUGUCAAAUUUGUUAUUUGAUUAAACUAUUUGAAAACGCA